rnacentral:rRNA from 1 species
AAUCGUGACUCGGGUUACCGCGGCUGCUGGCACGGAGUUAGCCGGUGCUUCUUCUGUGAGUGAUGUCCUUCCUGCCGGCUAUUAACCCGCAGGCCUUCUUCCUCACUGAAAGUGCUUUACAACCCGAAGGCCUUCUUCACACACGCGGCAGUGGCUGGAUCAGGGUUGCCCCCAUUGUCCAAUAUUCCCCACUGCUGCCUCCCGUAGGAUCUGGGCCGUGUCUCAGUCCCAGUGUGGCUGAUCAUCCUCUCAGACCAGCUACGGAUCGUCGCCUUGGUGAGCCGUUACCUCACCAACCAGCUAAUCCGACAUAGGCUCAUCCGAUAGCGCGAGGCCCGAAGGUCCCCCGCUUUCCCCCGUAGGGCGUAUGCGGUAUUAGCCU